AUGGUGAAGCAACGCGGAUCUCAUCUCGUUUCACACGUCAACACAGCCGCCGCCUCUUAUCCUCCUCUCUCUCUCACUGUCGUCGGAUCUAGGGAGCCACCGGGAGGAGAUCAGAGAGGCCGCGACCUCGCAGAAGCAGCAUCCUUGACCAGAUCCGGCGCUCAGCGCUGCCUUCGCCCUUUUCUCUUGUCUAUGGCAGGUAAGGUGAGACGUCGUCCCCCACGAUCACCGAUGGCAACCGCGUCACCAGCGAGGAGGCGGCAACAUCAACACGCAUCGCCCGGCCAGGCAGCUGCGGUACAAGAUCGACAUGGACUUCUGCAAAGAGCCGCGCCAUGCCAUCUUUCAGGACAUGGGCUCAGGUAGCACCUAGCCGCGUUCAUCUACCACUCGUCCCCUACAACGUCAAGGAAUUCAAGAAGACUAUGUCUUUCAACCAGUUGCAGAAUAUACAGUGCUACUGAUGUUGGUUUUGUUGCAAAGAUUAGUUCUGCAAAGCUCUCGAUUAUCUUUGCAACUCCAGAUGAUGGUAAAAGAAAUGAAAGGUAUCGGCUGUAAUACCAUCGAAGUGUGGUUUCUACACUAUGGCCUUACUCGAAAGACUGACUCGACCAUAUCUAUGAGUGAGACAUCAAGAAGCCAAGAAAAAGGUUUAGAUGCAAUUUCAAGAGUAUGCAGGGCGACAAGAAGCCAAGAAAAGGAAGUUAAUCUUCACAUUCAAUAUUCAGGGCAUAUAUAUUCAUCAGUCAUUGAGUUUUUUAUGUUCAUUUAUUGGCUGAAACUUUGUUUUUUAUUGCAGUUGACCAAACCCAACCAGACCGUGCUAAAGCAUCAGCGAAAUCAGCAAUCUAGGCGAACCUAGAAUCAAAGGCAUCAGCAAUUUUUUUUUUGCGAAAACACAAGCAUCAGCAAUUGAAGACAUGGGGUGCCAAGUAUUAGCAUUUGUUGAAAGAUGGUGCAAGUACAGAAGAAGGAGCAGAAGAUUGUAUGCAUGAGUGAUGCUUGCUUAACUUAACUUAAUUUCGUCCAUCUGAAGGAGCAGAAGAUUGUAUGCAUGAGUGAUGCUUGCUUAACUUAACUUAAUUUCGUUCACCAAGAUGGAUUAAGCCUGGGUGGAGGUAGCAGUUGUGUGCAAGCUAGAAGUUAAUUUUGAACUGUGAUAUGUUACUAAUCAUGCCCGCAGUUUCUCAGAUAUUUCAGUUUAUAGGAAUAUUAAUAGCAUAACCAUCUCUUGUUGCCACGCAUUGAAGGAACCAACCAGGGAGUGUGCAGUCUCGGGGGUGUGAGGAAGCAGGGAUGGUGACCUGAUGAGGAGAGGAGGAGGUUAAUGGGAAGCAGGUAAGCAUCAUGGGCAGUGGGUACGAGGAGGGCGUGGAAAAAUGAUUUUUGGGGUGGUGUUUUCCCCCACUCCUGCUUGGUUAGAUGAUAUAUCUCCUGAUAAUGAAGUGUGUUUUCAAUUUCGUGAGUUUGACCUCUUUUAGAAAGGUUUUCAAUUACAGGUCUGUCUCUCAUGGAUGGAUGGUCACAUGGGAGUAAUCAAUUGACUAGCUAUUUAGAUUGCUGGGAUUGACAAAAACACAAAAAUGAUCCAGUUGGUGGAACUAUUGUAAAACUACUGAAGGAGGUAACCCUUUACAAGAGGACUAUUUGACAGGAAAAAACAAGUCUACGGGUAGCCAAGUAUUGUUGAUUGAAAGUCUGCAAGUAGUCAAGUAGUCUUAUGAAAGGCCAUUCUAGGGGAUCUUUGCUUGUUGUAGCUAUACCAAUUUACCUCUAUUUUUUGCCAGUAGCUAGCACUGUAUUUUAUUUCUCUUUGUGGCUUUGGCGAGGAUUUUUCUGCCGGCUCUUUUUCUUGUACCAAAUUAACUCCUUUGACGCUGAUGCUAUUAAGUUUGUUAUAAUAAAUGUU